rnacentral:lncRNA from 1 species
CUCUGUUCUAAAUUGCACACAUUGAUCUGCUGUGUACGAUGUUGCAAAGCAAGUUGGCAGGAGUACUGGAGUGUAUCAGGUCUACUAGGGAAUAAAUAUACUUGGGUUUUUAGUUUAAAUGAGUGGAGAGUUGGGGAGUGGCUUGACAGCCAUGGGGAGCCCAAGCGUUGGUUUCCCAUCAAACAAACCCCUUUGUAGGUUGGAGCUGUCAGUCAAUGCCAGCUCCUGGGUCCCUGCCCCUGGGGACAGGCAUCCCCGCCCAUGCUGCUGGCCUGCCACUUCGGAGAAGAGGCGAGGGUGGCUAGGUUGCGGGGAGGAGAGUCUUGAACACCAGUCUACCCUCUGCCCAUUCAAGGCCUUGUCACUAAGGCCUGAUGUCUGGGAGCUCGUCUAAUUCUGCCACUUUAAGGGUCUACUCUGCAGUCCUCAAAGUUCAGAUGAUUCUUCCCCAAACCAUCAAAGACAGCCCUGGCUGUCUCUGAGUUCUUAUGCCCAUGAGGAUGACCUAUGAAUCCCAGAAAGAUACAGAAUUGAGAAUCACCAGAGAACUCUGUUCCAGGAAUCAAGUGAUUAAAGUUACAGUUCCAGUGUCAUCACUAAAUAGCAAGGUGACCUUGGAUGCCUCAUUUUAUCAAAUCUCUCCAUUUUUCAACCUCUAAAAGUAGGAUAAUUUCACAGAUUUGUUAUAAGGAUGAAAAGAGAAAAUGGAUGGGAAAAGUUUGUGAAAGCCUUUGAGAUGUAGGACAAUAAAAAUGGGAAGAGAUCUGCUGGGAUGUUAUCUAGCCCAACCUUCCACCAGGGGCUCACUGAGACUCUGCAUGGAACUUUCACUAAUGGAAAAAUCACUCCCUCGCAGCAAGGUUUCAUUGUUGGCAGACACAAAAAGGACUUUCAAAAAUUAUUUUUAAAAUUUAAGAGAUAUUAUGUCUCUAGGAUGAUAUACAUGUUUCAAGUAGUAUUAAAAGCCACACUGAUGGAUAUGUAAUAAUA